rnacentral:rRNA from 1 species
GACGAACGCUGGCGGUGUGCUUAACACAUGCAAGUGGAGCGACGAACCAGGGCUUGCCCUGGGGCAGAGCCGCGAACGGGUGAGUAACACGUGGGUAACCUACCCCGAUGACUGGGACAACCCGAGGAAACUCGGGCUAAUACCGGAUGUGCUCGGAGUUCACGAGAACUUUGAGUAAAGGAAGCUUCGGCCUCCGCAUUGGGAGGGGCCCGCGGCCCAUUAGCUAGUUGGUGGGGUAAUGGCCUACCAAGGCUGCGAUGGGUAGCUGGUCUGAGAGGACGAUCAGCCACACUGGGACUGAGACACGGCCCAGACACCUACGGGUGGCUG